rfam:African eggplant yellowing virus isolate eMA4, complete genome
CACGAUCAGCCAAGCAUACAUCAGUUGCAAGCGUUGGAGAUCACAGUCUGAUUACCA